rnacentral:lncRNA from 1 species
AGUAAAGGAAGCUUCAGGAAAAUCACAUAUUGAAAGAGGGUGUUGACUACAAAUGGGAAACCUGACCCCACCCACUGCUGGGUACUUAAGCUGUAGAAAGUCAGAGGCCUGUCCCUAGUUCUGCUGGAGUGGAGCUGAGAGAGGCUCUUGGGAGCUGCCUGCGUGGGCAGAGUUUGAAGGCUUAGGAUAUCUCCUGAAGGCCGGAUGGGCCAGUAGAGAUUAACGAGGCUUGAGCUGUCUUGAAAGAUGGCUGCCCUGAGAACUGGCUAGAAGAGGAGACCAAGGAGGCUGUGUGGGUCACCCUUGCAUUGGAGAUGAGGGGAGUCGUGAGAGAUCAGUGGGGAGCCCAUUGCCCUGUUGGGGAACUGCCUGGUGGAGCUUUCCCAGGGAUAUUUUAAAGAACCUACAUGGGAGAAAGCCUGCAUUUGGACAUCUUCCAGGCCAUUCAAUAGCCAAAGAGAACCACCAACAGCUUGAAUCAAAAAAAAGGCCCUCAAAAUAGGCUGAAUGAAAAGAGGUGUGAUCGAUGAAAACUGGCCGCUCCUUCUUUGCAACUCCUUCCAUUAGGUGGUGGAGUCUACGUUGCCCUCCCUUUGAUCCAGGCUGGCCACACAAAUUACUUUCACCAACAGAAUGCUGUAGAAGUGAUACUGCAUGACCUCUGAGCCCAGGCCUUAAGGGACUUUGCAGCUUCUGUUCUUGGCCUCUGGCUGCUCUGUGACUACCAUGGAAGGAGUUCCACACUAACCUCCUGUAGGGUAAGAGACACGUGGAGGCAGACUGAGCCUCCCAGCCAUCCCACUGAGGCUCCAGGCGUGCCAGUGAUGUACCUGGCUGAAGCCUGGCCCCCAGUCACCCACUGACGGCAGCUGCAAAGGUGCCCGUGAUGAGGUACAAUUUGCUUGAUGUCAUCAAUACAGUGAGCCAGUGUGAUAUUCUGCGGAAUUGAAGAUGACUACAGUCCCUUUGGACUACACUAUGACAAAGAACAAGAGUGUUAGCACAGCCCUGGGUGGGUCACUGACAAGAAAAUUCACCUGGAGGCCAAAUUGUCUCUAAUAACAAGUCCAAGACAUGCAUUCCAGCUGGAAUCCUCUUCCCGGAUGAUCCGUGUCCCUGUCUGUAACACAGGGCUAAGCAAGUUCUUCAGCUAUUGGGCUUCAUCCACUCAACAUUCCACUGGCACUUCCAGAGCUGCCACCACACUUCAGACUCCCAAGGCUAACAAUGACCAAGAAAGACAGAUUCUCUGACGUCAUGGAACUUACUGUCUUUAUGAAUUUCCAGGGAGAAGGGUGCUAAGAUGCUAACAUGGAUACUAACCAUCUGAUGCAAUAUUCUGCUGCACAGAUUGUGACCUAUGACUCACUGGGACAUGAUAGAGGUCACAGAAAUGCCAAUGACAUCCCAAAGACAGUGUGGGAGUGUGUUGUCUAGCUUCUUAGCAAACCCCACCCCCACGGUGGCAUGACCCCUGCACCAUCUUCUCCCACCCUGGGAUCUCCUUCCUACCCCUCUGCCCAUGUCAAUCUGGAAGGUACUUUUAUACACACACACACACACUCCUAAUAGCAUCUAAAUCAGUCACUCUCAACCUUGGCUGUGCAUUAGUGGUGCUUACCUAUGACAGGGCUAGGCCCAGGCCACACCCAAAUCCAUUAAAGCAGAGCGUCUGGGGUGGGACCCAAGCAUCAGAGUUAUUGGCAUCUUCCCAGCUCGAGAACCAGUGCUCUAAGCGGAUGUGGUCGUCGGGGGAAAGGCAAGGACCUCUGGUCUUUACAAUCUUCUUGAUAUCACUGAAUAACCUCAGUUUCUCUGUCUGGGCAAGGAGGGUACUAAUACCUCCCUCUCCAGGCCAUGAUGAAGGUAAAACAAUAUUCUGAAAGAACCUCAGGAAUCCUGCCCAGAUGAGAGGCACUGGCCCUGUGGCCUCUGGGCAGAUUCACUGGAGAAAGUGGUGGGUGUGAUGGUUUCCCUGGGGGCCAACACUGAGACUUCCCAGUGUUUGCUCUACCAGGGUGAGCAUCACUGUGGUGAAUGUCCCUUGCAGAGCUCACAUCUGUUGCACCAGGAUACUUCCCCUGAAG